CGGUACGUGACUUGUGGGCUGUCCGAUUGAACCAGCGAUGCGUCGGACACUCUGGAGUCUUCGUCCCAUUCCCUGUCUCUCCCGUCACGUGUCCCACGUUGCCGACCGGUCUUUCUGUCUCCUCUCGCUUCUCUCCCAUACCUCGCUCGCCUUCCCCGCAUCUCGUCCUCUAGCGUCCGCUCGCUCGAUCGCUCCCCGCCCCGCGGUGUGGCCGGAGGCCAGCAUCGCGGCAGCACUGGAGGUCUGGAACGGGCGCCCGGAUCUGUGGCUCCGACGGAGCACUGUAAAAUCCAUAGUCUUCAUGAACAUUAUUGAGUUUGAUGAUUGAUGCCACAACCUUCACAUGCUAAGAAGAAGUUCAGAUCAGGAUAUUUUGGAUCACUGGAUGUGCUGAUGAGAUACUGCACACACACACAAAAAAAAAAGAGCAUCACAGUUUGGACUGAAGUUGUGCAACCUAUAGAGGCAGAGCCACAGCCACUCAAGACUCAAGAGUGGGGCCUGUCCUAGUUGAUCCAAGUCCGACCUCGGCCAGGGCCAAGCUCGAACUGGAGCCAUGGCCGACCACACGGCAUGGCCUCGCCGGCGGUGGAAUGGCGACGGGGCUCGACCGGAGGACGGGCUCGAAGCUGCGGAAUUGUAUGGGGCUUCGAUUUGAAGUAGCUGCAGUUGCAUGCAGUGAGCAGAACAUGACCAGCAGCGGCGAUGGUGGCACGGUGGUCAGGCCGUGCAUGGAGAGAGAAAUAGAGGGAUGGGAAAGGCGGGAAAAUGGCUGGCGAGCCUCACCAUAGAUUGGGGAGCUCACCAAGGUGCACGUGCGGUCGUAGGGCGAUCGUCUUGGAGGGAGAUGGCUUGUGGCGGCAGAUCGACGGGGACGACAAGCUCGGUGUUGGCCUGCAGGGAAGAAGAUGACGCCGCACGCGUUUGGGUUGGCAGCGUGGGAAACGACACCUUGGCGCGGGGAAGCAUCUGGGGAGCUCCCCACGGUGCCCCUCGGUGCUCUAACUCGGGGACGUCGACUCCGAGCCAAGGCGCAGUUGCUGCUGCUCUGUUCGGUGGGAAGAACGGAUGAAAGAGCAGCUGCUCUGUGCAGCCGAGAGAGGGUGAGAGAGCAGGAGUGAGUGAGAGGGCAAGGCUCUGCGCUGCUGCAGUUUGGAGAGAGAGUGAGCACGAGAGAGAACAGCCGCUGUCACUAUGUGCUGUGGAACGGAGAGAAAGCAGAGAGCAGAGAGCUGAUUGGAGAAGAAGAAUACGAAGGAAAUUGCUGCUUUUUUCUCCUUCUCGAUCUCUCUCGAACAAUGUUGCAUGCCAAAGCUAAUCGGAUGGAUAGAAAGCUUGAUAAAUUUGGAAGGCAGUGGUGUGACAUGCAAGGCUCGAUUUCGGGUGUUUGGAUGGGAUUUGGAAGGGAGGAGGAGGGGAGCUCCUGUUCUAGAGUGAAGUUUCUUGGGAGAGUGAGCACAGGAGGUGGGUCGAGAGGUAGAAGAAGGCCAGAGAACAUACAGGUGGGUAGUAUGAACAGUACCGCGAGCUCAAAUAUUUCCUCUCUUUUUCUGCUGGUUUGUACUUGCUAUAUAAAUCAUAAGCAACCCAUUUGAUUCGGAUUGACCCAAAAUCCCCUGUAGAUUUUGAAACAAAUUCGUACAAAUUGGCAGCUUUUAAAUCUUGCAUGAA